AAUAUGAGGAGAAUCAAUCAGGCAGAACCCCAACACCACCAUCAACAACAAUUGAGGCAAUCGAACAUAAACUGGUUAUUAUGUUUACAACGGCAAUCGAACAUAAACUGGUUAUUAUGUUUACAACAGAAGCAAAGCUUUGAUUUUUAACAGACGAUUUUCUCCUGGGAAGGAAUCAGAAAAUCACAGGUGAAGUCAUCGUCUCUCAUGUCAUUGUUAUUAUCCCAGUUCAGUUUUUGUAUACUUAUUAGGUUUCUUCGAAUUAAUCGUGGUGAAUUUUUAUUUUCAAUUUUGGUGUAGAAAUAGAGAUUAAGUGAGUGAUUCGUUUCUAAUAAUUUUAGAUUUGAGAAAAUUCUCUCGGUUUCUGCUCUUGGUUCUCAUAGAAUUCAAGCCAUCUUGAUUUGUUCUGAUUGCUCUGUGAUUGAUUUCUCGGUUGAUGCACGAAUUUCUCGAAAUUGUGGCCCUCAGGUUGAUCAAGCAGGUGUGAAAAUACUGGAUACUUUGAUUGUUUAUUUUGUUCAAUGUAUUUUAUUGUAUUCAUUAAAUUAUUACUGUGUUAUUUGGGAUUUUAUGGCAAGUUGAUCGAAUAAACUUUGAAAUUCUUCUUCACAAAAUAUCAAAGAUCCUUCGACAUCAAUUAGUCCUUCUCCGGAUUUCUUUUUAAUUAGUGCUGGUGGUUGUCGGAUUAAGGUAAAGAAAGAUUCUGAUUUUGUGUAUAAUUGGAGGGUGCUUGAUUAGUAAGAUGUGAAGUUUACCAUCUCAAAUAUUCAUCUCCUCUUUUUCCGGCAUGUCUGGGUAUUGAAAACUCUAAUAGUCCUUUGCAUGUCUUUGUGCUUUUGGUUUUCACAUGAUGCAGUUUCGUAUUGGUUCAAUACGAACAUAAAAUGAGCCUUUAUUCUAAUGCGUGCGUACUGUGAAUCUUUUGUUAGACAUUUUGGUUUAGCCAACCUUUGGAUCAUCAAAAUUCACACGUGACAACAAUAAAUCAGCCAGGAAGAGAUUUUUCAAGGGAUUCUCUUAUGUACUAAAAUAUUUCAAAAGGCAACGACCAAAGAUAUCGGAUGUUGUUCGAAUGCUUGAAGGUGAUGGGCUUGAAGAGAGAUAGUUCUCUAUAUUUGGCUCAAUGUGGAGGAAACAUAAGCAUGCAUCUAAGGAUUUUAUAUAAGGGAGCCAUCUUUGAAGUGUAGGGGUUUAUGUAUGUCGAUACCGUAAGAACAGUGGAGAAUUAGAACCUUAAACGCGAGGCUCAAUAUCAUAACUUAACAAUUAUCUUUUAUUUUUCAAAUCGGCAUCACAACUUAACAAUACCAAUGGUCUUAAUGCAUGUAAUCUUCUUAAUAAUUUACUAUCUGUUGAUAUUGAAGAGUUUUCAUGUAUUGGUUUAGCUCAUCAUCUCCGGGUGCUUGAUUUCGAGAAUGGUGCAUCGAGUGUUUCUUUUAACCUCUUAGAAGACUUUUUAGAGUUCAGAUGGCAGCAAUACUCUUUGCGUGAGCAGUGAAAUUAAUAAAACGUUUUGCAUAUUGGAGGUACCGCCUAUGCUAAGGAAGAAGGCAAAUGUCAGGGAAAGGGAAAGGGAAUAGCAGCGACACCAUUACAGUUGGUUCUUUGAAAAAUCUAGCCAUGAGAAUUUUCUUAUUGAUUAUGCAGGUGUGAACCCUUAUACUGGAUGCAUUGAAUUCAAGUACUUCUUUUUCUAAUAAGUAAAGCUGAUCAAUGUGUCGACUAAAUCCCAAUUGAAUUUAAUCUAACUUCUUUAGGGUGGCAGCUGCUUUGUGCUAAUAAUCAUUUUCAUAUUUUCUGUCGAAUUCGCGUUCCGUUACUUUAAGAUGCACAUGGGAAUAAAGACGAUCAGGUAUGUGAAAAGCUUCAAGGUCCGGUGUUGGGAUUGUUUAAUGCUGUUGUACAACCUCUAAGAUUAUCAAGAUGUAGGUGGUGAUGAGAAGGAGGAGGAUGUAAUGGCACCACUAACUUGGAUAUGAUCUUGAUAAGGGUAGGAAGUCGUGUUUCAAGAGGAUGUCCCAGAUAAGAUAUGGUAAGAUUUACUCUUUUGUGUAACUUUUGUUGUCUUAGAAUAGGGAGUCGUGUUUAAAGGGUAAUGACAAGUAACCAUUGAUUAACCGAGGACCCUUUUUCUAAAUAUUAAGCUACUUCAUUAUUGCUGAUAAAUAUGAAAUAACGAGAUCUGAUUUCGAGAUUGCUAGUUUUGUUUUUAGUUUGGCAUGGGAGAUUCUCUUGGUGAUUACCAUGGUGUUUUUAGUUUUGUUUGAUUCGGUGUGUUUUAUGCAUUGAUAAAUCAACAUAUUUCAUGGUUUGCCUGUCAUGAGAUUAGAAACCUUGUUGACUUUUGUCUCAAAGAAGAAACACAAUAUCUUAAGGGUAAAUAUAACAUGCAAGCACAGCAGUGGACUCCUCCACCAACUAGUCAUUUGAAAAUAACUACCAUGGAGGAGUAGAUGCAGAGCAGACAAAAUGUUUGUCCAUGAAACAUGCAAUCCUGUGGGCCAAAGAACUCAAUCUUCGGUUCAGCAACUUACUUUUUGAAGCAGACUGUAUAAAUGUUACUAGUUCCACCAGCAAAGCUAACUCUGUAGUUCACUGGAUGAACCAGAGUCAUGUAGAUGAAAUAAAGCAGCUUUUAUCGGAUUUUUCUUCCUUUAGUGUUAAUCAUGUAAAAAGAAUGGCAAAAAAUGUAGCUCAUGUAAUAGCCAACAAAGAUAGAACUUUUAAGUCUUCCUUUGAUUUUGCUAGUAAUAUUCCCAUAGAAAUAGCUGAACUAGUAAGGGAAGAAAGAAAGAUAAUUAAGAAGUCAUGUAAUAUGAUGGUUUAAUAUAUUGGUUUUUUGCAUUAAAAAAAA